AUUGAACGCUGGCGGCAUGCCUUACACAUGCAAGUCGAACGGCAGCACGGGUGCUUGCCCCUGGUGGCGAGUGGCGCACGGGUGAGAAAUACAUCGGAACAUGUUCUGUAGUGGGGGAGAGUCAGGCGAAAGCCGGAUUAAUACUACCUACGAUUCACGGAAGCCAGCGGGGGCACUUCGGGCCUCGGGCUUUGGGGUCGGUCGAUGGCUGAUUAGCUAGUUGGUGGGGUAAAGGCCUACCAAGGCGACGAUCAGUAGCUGGUCUGAGAGGAAGACCAGCCACACUGGGACUGAGACACGGCCCAGACUCCUACGGGAGGCAGCAGUGGGGAAUUUUGGACAAUGGGCGAAAGCCUGAUCCAGCAAUGCCGCGUGUGUGAAGAAGGCCUUCGGGUUGUAAAGCACUUUUGUCCGGAAAGAAAACCUUGGCUCUAAUACAGGCGGGUGAUGACGGUACCGGAAGAAUAAGCACCGGCUAACUACGUG
rnacentral:rRNA from 1 species